AGAGUUUGAUCAUGGCUCAGGACGAACGCUGGCGGCGUGCCUAAUACAUGCAAGUCGAGCGAGCUGAACCAGCAGAUUCACUUCGGUGAUGACGCUGGGAACGCGAGCGGCGGAUGGGUGAGUAACACGUGGGUAACCUGCCCUAAAGUCUGGGAUACCACUUGGAAACAGGUGCUAAUACCGGAUAACAACAAUAGCUGCAUGGCUAUUGCUUAAAAGGCGGCGUAAGCUGUCGCUAAAGGAUGGACCCGCGGUGCAUUAGCUAGUUGGUAAGGUAACGGCUUACCAAGGCGACGAUGCAUAGCCGAGUUGAGAGACUGAUCGGCCACAUUGGGACUGAGACACGGCCCAAACUCCUACGGGAGGCAGCAGUAGGGAAUCUUCCACAAUGGGCGAAAGCCUGAUGGAGCAACGCCGCGUGAGUGAAGAAGGUUUUCGGAUCGUAAAGCUCUGUUGUUGGUGAAGAAGGAUGGAGGUAGUAACUGGCCCCUAUUUGACGGUAAUCAACCAGAAAGUCACGGCUAACUACGUGCCAGCAGCCGCGGUAAUACGUAGGUGGCAAGCGUUGUCCGGAUUUAUUGGGCGUAAAGCGAGCGUAGGCGGAAAGAUAAGUCUGAUGUGAAAGCCCCCGGCUUAACCGAGGAAUUGCAUCGGAAACUGUGUUUCUUGAGUGCAGAAGAGGAGAGUGGAACUCCAUGUGUAGCGGUGGAAUGCGUAGAUAUAUGGAAGAACACCAGUGGCGAAGGCGGCUCUCUGGUCUGUAACUGACGCUGAGGCUCGAAAGCAUGGGUAGCGAACAGGAUUAGAUACCCUGGUAGUCCAUGCCGUAAACGAUGAGUGCUAAGUGUUGGGAGGUUUCCGCCUCUCAGUGCUGCAGCUAACGCAUUAAGCACUCCGCCUGGGGAGUACGACCGCAAGGUUGAAACUCAAAGGAAUUGACGGGGGCCCGCACAAGCGGUGGAGCAUGUGGUUUAAUUCGAAGCAACGCGAAGAACCUUACCAGGUCUUGACAUCUAGUGCCAUCCUAAGAGAUUAGGAGUUCCCUUCGGGGACGCUAAGACAGGUGGUGCAUGGCUGUCGUCAGCUCGUGUCGUGAGAUGUUGGGUUAAGUCCCGCAACGAGCGCAACCCUUGUUAUUAGUUGCCAGCAUUAAGUUGGGCACUCUAAUGAGACUGCCGGUGACAAACCGGAGGAAGGUGGGGAUGACGUCAAGUCAUCAUGCCCCUUAUGACCUGGGCUACACACGUGCUACAAUGGGCAGUACAACGAGAAGCGAGCCUGCGAAGGCAAGCGGAUCUCUUAAAGCUGUUCUCAGUUCGGACUGCAGUCUGCAACUCGACUGCACGAAGCUGGAAUCGCUAGUAAUCGCGGAUCAGCACGCCGCGGUGAAUACGUUCCCGGGCCUUGUACACACCGCCCGUCACACCAUGGAAGUCUGCAAUGCCCGAAGCCGGUGGCCUAACCACUUAUGUGGAAGGAGCCGUCUAAGGCAGGGCAGAUGACUGGGGUGAAGUCGUAACAAGGUAGCUGUAGGAGAACCUGCGGCUGGAUCACCUCCUU
rnacentral:rRNA from 1 species